rnacentral:misc_RNA from 1 species
UCCCAUAAAUCUUCAAUCGCACCUAUCUCUUCUAUACCUUUAAAACUUUCUUUCAGUUUCUCUACAUACUCGUCUUUCUUUUCCUUUUCUUGUAGGUUUUCCACUUUCACUCUGUCCAAAACACUCAUAGGCUCGGCCCUUCGGUGUCGCCACCGUUUAAAGAGGUCACGCAUUCGGGCUACGAUCAGGAAGUGGUCUGUGUCGAG